GACGAACGCUGGCGGCGUGCCUAAUACAUGCAAGUUGAGCGCUGAAGGUUGGUACUUGUACCAACUGGAUGAGCAGCGAACGGGUGAGUAACGCGUGGGGAAUCUGCCUUUGAGCGGGGGACAACAUUUGGAAACGAAUGCUAAUACCGCAUAAAAACUUUAAACACAAGUUUUAAGUUUGAAAGAUGCAAUUGCAUCACUCAAAGAUGAUCCCGCGUUGUAUUAGCUAGUUGGUGAGUUAAAGGCUCACCAAGGCGAUGAUACAUAGCCGACCUGAGAGGGUGAUCGGCCACAUUGGGACUGAGACACGGCCCACACUCCUACGGGAGGCAGCAGUAGGGAAUCUUCGGCAAUGGACGCAAGUCUGACCGAGCAACGCCGCGUGAGUGACGAAGGUUUUCGGAUCGUAAAACUCUGUUGGUAGAGAAGAACGUUGGUGAGAGUGGAAAGCUCAUCAAGUGACGGUAACUACCCAGAAAGGGACGGCUAACUACGUG
rnacentral:rRNA from 1 species